rnacentral:rRNA from 12 species
UUCGGUGGUCAUAGCGUGAGGGAAACGCCCGGUCCCAUUCCGAACCCGGAAGCUAAGCCUCAAAGCGCCGAUGGUACUGCAAGGGGGACCUUGUGGGAGAGUAGGACGCCGCCGAAC